UUCAGUCUAUAAAUAUGCCCAGGGUUGGCCUCCAAAGCCAGUGAUGUCAGAGAAAGUGCACAGACAUCUCCAAAAAGACAAGUUCGGCAUGAUGAGGUCCAUGCACAAAGGAUAACUUCCUCUCUGUCACUAUGUGUCCAAGCUCGAUGCAGUAGGGUUGGUGGGUGGCCAGCCCUCCCUAGAGCCCUCUGAGGAACAUCAGGUGUGUCUGAAGCAGCUCCAUCAGCCCCAAGGCCUCACCCAGUUAUUCUGGGUACAGCAAUGAUAAAAGAAAGUAAGGUCACGUCAUCAAAUCUCUGCCAAGUGAAACACAUCUAAUGGCGAGACGGCAUGUCUGAAGCAAAUGGAUAAAAAUCUCAUUUCCAAGCUAUUGGAUCCAAAAUUAUGUAGAUUAAAAUCAAAUCCUUUUUGGUUGUUGUUGUUGGGA